AUUUGUAAGACAGCCUGAUAUAACUGGGUAAAUCACAAUGUGUUCUGGUACAAUAGCUUGAGAAAUAGCAGCAAUUGAGUCAUUCAGGUGUUUUUUUGUUUAUUUGUUUGUUGUGAAAUUGGUCAGUUGCAAAAAGCAGAGUCAUCACUUGGAGCACAGUUUACAAGUGACAUGAGCUCCCAUAUCUUACCCUCAACACAUCCAGCCAAGGUGAAACUGGCUGGAACUUAAGGGAGAUGUGGUGAUUUCAAUGAGAGAAAUUAUGCUGAUCCUAAGUACUUUAGUUACGGUCUUACAGAGAAACAGAAUCAAUAGGAUAAUUUCUCUGUCUCUCUGUCUCUCUCUCUCUCUCUCUCUCUCUCUCUCCCUCUCCCUCAAUCUAUCUAUCUAUGAGUAUAUUUAUUAUGGCAAUUGGCUCAUAUGCUUAUGUAGGCUGAGAAGUUCCAUCAUCUGCCGUCUGCAGGCUGGAGAAUCAGGAAAGGUGGUGGUGUAAUUCAGUCUGAGUCUGAAGACCUGAGAACCAAGAGGGAGAGAGAACACAGUUGUAAGUUUUAGAGUCUUAAGGCCUGAGAACCAGCUCUGAUGUCCAAGGAUAGGAGAUGGUGGAUGUUACUCAGUGGACUGGAUGAUGCCUACCCACAUUGGUGAGGGGGAAUCUUCUUUACUUAGGCUACUGAGCCAAAUGUUAGUCUCUUCCAGAAACACCUUUACAGGCACACCCAGAAACAAUGUUCUACCAGCUAUCUGAGCAUCCCUUAGCCCAGUCCAAGUUGACAUACAAAAUUAACAAUCACACCGAGAUACUCAAAACAGAUACAUAGAAGGGAAUAAUUCAGGAACUCAGCAGGCAAUGUUGGAAGGAAAGCUUGGAUUUGGAAGGUAUAAAGUUAUGAGAGAUAAAGAAGCCAUAUGUUUGGGCAAACUUAUCCAUGAAGAACAUAGGAAGAUCAGAUGGCUGAUAGUGGAUCCCUGGGGCACAGCAGCAUUUCAAGGGAGAGCAAAAAGAUGAAUGAAGAGAAAGAACAGCCACCAGGAGGGCAAAGUAUUAAAAGAGGGUAGUGUCUCUAAAUCAAAAUAAACAGUUUCAGACCAGGUGGGGUGGCUCACAGCUGUUAUCCCAACAUUUUGGGAGGCCGAAGUGGGUGGAUCACUUGAGGUCAGGAGUUCAAGACCAACCUGGCCAACAUGGUGAAACCUCAUCUCUACUAAAAAUACAAUUAGCUGGACAUGGUGGUGUGUGCCUGUAAUCCCAGCUACUUGGGAGGCUGAGGCGAGAAUUGCUUGAACCCAGGAGGCAGAGGUCGCGGUGAGCCAAGAUAGUAUCACUGCACUCCAGCCUGGGCGAUAGAGCGAGACUCUGUCUCAAAACAAACAAACGAAAAAACAAAAAAACUGUUUUAAGCAGGAAGAAGUGGCCUACAGUGUAAAUACUACUGAGAAGUAAGAUAAGCAUGUGAAUGUGUUCAGUAGGUAUGUCAACACUGAGGCCACUUGUGACCCUAGGGUCAGGAAAGCAGUGUUGUGGCAUCUUGGAGCAGAAGCCACACUGCAAAGUGUUGGAAAUUAGUGGGAGGAAAGAAAAUUUGGCUGUGAAGGGAAUUAAGAAAAAGGGAGGUAAUUGGAAUGGUAUUUGAGGUUAAAAAUCCCAUUUCUUAUGUUUUAGAGAAUUGAGAGGCCUGAGAUUGAUUAUAUUUAUUGUAAGGGGUCCAGCCUGUGUAUCAGGAGGGGAGAUCAAAUGUACAGGAAAGAGAGUCAGGGACCAAGGGAGCAAGGUCCUGGAGGUGGUGAACCUGUGACCAGAUGAAUGGAGGACCUCCAGAGGCAAGAAGGAAUGCCUACCCCAAUGCCUGGGUUGGUGCGAGGGAAACAAAUGUAGGAAUCGAUUUACAUACAUUUCUGGGAGAGGAUAGAAGAGGGAGAGUACUACAAUGUUUGUUUGUUUGUUUGUUUGUUUUUGUUUUUGUUUUCUGCAAAGAGAAGUUAUGGUUUUCUGCGGAGAAUAAGGGAGAAACUGGAAAUGAAGAAUGUUCUUAAAAGGUCAAAAUCGGCAAUAACCACCAAGGGCAAUGGGAGAGGAAACUAACUAGAUAGGUGGAGCAUGGCACGUACCCCCAACUAAUGUCACAAAGGUGUACUGUUGAACAAAAGAAGGAAGCAGAUGAGAAGCUAUGGAAGCCUCUAGAGCAUUUGGGAGGGAGAAGCAGCAGGCCAUUGGAAUUUCAUUCAUCUACUGGAUUCUCCUUGCCAAGUAAUUUCUGGGAAUUCCUCAGUCUUGCUCACAUGUUGUACUACUCUCUCCUGGAUGUCACUUGUCAACUCUACCAGCCCUCCUUUCUCCAGAUGGCUUCUUCAUAACCACCAGAGCAUGCGUAAGACCAGAUAGCAGUAUCUGAAAAAUUUCUUCAGACAGCUUGGGGAUACUGCAACACAGAAGAGGAUAAUUGACAGGUCAGAAGAGGAUCCUUUCCAAUGAUUUUCCUAAAACAAUGGAAGUGUUUUCCAAAGAGCUUAUAAGGCAUUGUAGGAUCUGGCCUGCCCUGACUCCACUUUACCAGAACCAUCUGCUGCUCUUCUCUCUUGUGUUACUCAAGGUAUUAGCUGCUGUGGCAAAUCAACUCUGAAAUCUCCGUGGCUUAAUACAAGAGAGGUUUAUUUCUUACUCACGCUGGGUGCACUGCCACUUGGUAACAGAGGAGCUAUGGAAACUGGAGACCUAAGCAGAAAUGAGUUCAAUAAUAUUGCUACACUCUAGGACUUUCUCCAAAAUUAACAACAGAACAAAAGUGCAAGGCAGUGAUAACCCAUCUGACAGCAUUUGGGGAGUGUUUGUGAAAGCAAUGGUGAUGGAGGUUUUAAAAGGAUGUCAGAUCAUAUAAGCAAGAAUGUUGAUGAACAUAGCUUGGGACCAAGACGCCUUCAUUUUGAUCCCAAGGCCUGCUGACAAUGUGCUGAAAGGAAAGAGGAUCUUCAAUUUUUUUAAAAACAGGAAUGAUUUGGUGUGUUCGUUCUUAACAAUGGUUAAACAACAUAAAAUGUGAUUCUUAUACUU